rnacentral:rRNA from 1 species
CCUACGGGAGGCAGCAGUGGGGAAUAUUGGACAAUGGGGGGAACCCUGAUCCAGCGACGCCGCGUGAGUGAAGAAGUAUUUCGGUAUGUAAAGCUCUAUCAGCAGGGAAGAAAGAAAUGACGGUACCUGACUAAGAAGCCCCGGCUAACUACGUGCCAGCAGCCGCGGUAAUACGUAGGGGGCAAGCGUGAGCCGGAUUUACUGGGUGUAAAGGGGGCGUAGACGGGGAUGCAAGUCUGAAGUGAAAGGCGGGGGCCCAACCCCCGGACUGCUUUGGAAACUGUAUGGCUGGAGUGCAGGAGAGGUAAGUGGAAUUCCUAGUGUAGCGGUGAAAUGCGUAGAUAUUAGGAGGAACACCAGUGGCGAAGGCGGCUUAGUGGACUGUAACUGACGUUGAGGCUCGAAAGCGUGGGGAGCAAACAGGAUUAGAUACCCCGGUAGUC